rnacentral:tRNA from 1 species
GAGGGUAUACCUCAGUGGUAGAGCAGGUGCCUAGCAUGCACAAGGUCCUGGGUUGAAAUCCCCAGUACCUCCA